GCUAAAGUUUAGCCCCUGACAUCCAAACGCCCCCUAAAAUGGGGGUGCUAAAAUUUAGCACCCCUCUCCCAAACACCCCCGAAGAUGGAAACGGAUUAUCUUACUCGAUAAAUAUCUGAUGGAAGAUCACCCCACAAAGUGGCUCCCCAUCGCAAGGCAAAGCUUCACCCUCGAGCCACCUAGGAGUAAUUAACAACACAUCUCAUGCUAAUUGUGUCACGGAACGCAGAUAUAAAAAAAGGAGCAUAUCAUGUGGCACACAUAAUCCUAAUAAAAAGGCGAUUAAACUGCGUAAUUAAUCAAAUCCUGCACAUGCAAUGAUUAGCUGGUACUAGUUGUUGAUUAGCAACGAUAAUCCCAGCUUGGGCUCGUGUCAGUUUGUUAAUUCAACUGCCAGGACACAGAAAAUCUAAAUCUGGUACGCGUGAUGCUGAACCUAUAUAUCACUAAACCAGAUCUGACGUUCUUAGCUAUGAUCUGCCCCAACCGCUCUGUUUGGUUAAGCUGUACGCGGACUAAGAUGUUAAGCUGUGCACAGUCAAUGAGAACAGAAUGCAG
rnacentral:lncRNA from 1 species